rnacentral:misc_RNA from 1 species
CCAAUAGCGUAUAUUAAAGUUGUUGCAGUUAAAAAGCUCGUAGUUGAAUUUCGGAGUUUGUCGGUUGGUCGGGCUUCAUUGUCCGCACUGACCUGAUGGAUUCCUACCUUCUGAAUAACCAGCAUGCUAUUAAGUUAGUGCGUUGGGGAAGCAGAGCUAUUACCUUGAAAAAAUUAAAGUGCUUAAAGCAGGCUUAUGCUUGAAUAGAUUAGCAUGGAAUAAUAAAAUAGGACGGCAUGGUUCUAUUUUGUUGGUUUCUAGGAUCACCGUAAUGAUUAAUAGGGAUAGUUGGGGGCAUUAGUAUUCAAUUGUCAGAGGUGAAAUUCUUGGAUUUAUUGAAGACUAACUUCUGCGAAAGCAUUUGCCAAGGAUGUUUUCAUUAAUCAAGAACGAAAGUUAGGGGAUCGAAGACGAUCAGAUACCGUCGUAGUCUUAACCAUAAACUAUGCCGACUAGGGAUCGGACGAUGUUAAUUUUUUAAUGACUCGUUCGGCGCCUUACG